UCUUCGCUAGUAUAUCGGUUAGUAUAAUCGCCUCUCAAGAGAGAGACUCCUCCAAGGAUCGCGAUAGAGCAGGGUUCGACUCCCUGGCGGAGAA